rnacentral:rRNA from 1 species
GGUCUUCGGAUUGACUUUGGGGAGCCGGCAACGGCACCUUAUUGUUGAGAAGUUGAUCAAACUAGGUCGUUUAGAGGAAGUAAAGGUCGUAACAAGGUUUCCGUAGGUGAACCUGCGGAAGGAUCAUUACUGAAGGCAUAGGGUUUGAGACUGCGUCUUCAAUGGCGUGUGCUCGACUCUUUUACCUAUCCACACACCUUUGUGCACCUAUGGGACGAAAGCCCCCUUUUCCACAUUAAUACCUAGUUAUAUGCAUGUCUAUACUCUACGGAGUAAUGUAAUAUAUACAACUUUCAACAACGGAUCUCUUGGCUUUCGCAUCGAUGAAGAACGCAGCGAAUGUGCGAGACGUAAUGUGAAUUGCAGAAUUCAGUGAAUCAUCGAAUCUUUGAACGCAUCUUGCGCUCCUUGGUACUCCGAGGAGCAUGCCUGUUUGAGUGUCGUGAAAUACUCUCAGUUUCAAUCUUUUUUUGAAACUGGAUUUGAAUGCUGUCGUGACACGACUCAUUCUAAAUGUAUUAGCGGUCUGCCCUUGAUCACACAAUGUGAUAAUUCAUUAAAGCAUUGUUAUUGUUCAAGUGGCGACGGCUUCAAACCGUCCGAAAGGAUAAUGUGAUCUCAUUUGACCUCAAAUCAGGUAGGACUACCCGCUGAACUUAAGCAUAUCAAUAAGCGGAGGAAAAGAAACUAACAAGGAUUCCCCUAGUAACGGCGAGUGAAGAGGGAAAAGCUCAAAUUUGAAAUCUGGCGUCUUCGGCGUCCGAGUUGUAAUUGCAGAGGGCGCUUUGACAUCGGCAGCGGUCCAAGUUCCUUGGAACAGG